rnacentral:misc_RNA from 1 species
GAGUCUUCUUGUCUUUCGAGACGGAGCUCCCGUCCUGUGUCAUGCGUGCCGAGAGCCCCGCGAGGGGUGCCUCGGAGAGAACUUUUCGGCGGAGGUGUUGCGCACGAGCCAAGACAUGGAAGGUCGGGUAACCGGCUGGAAGUGUUGAGGGAGGUGCGUGACCGCCGUCGGCCGUCAACUCUUGCGAAUGGAUGAAGUCUGAAGCAACAAUAAAAAAAAUGAAGCAAAACUUUCAACAACGGAUCUCUUGGCUCUGGCAACGAUGAAGAACGCAGCGAAAUGCGAUAAGUAAUGCGAAUUGCAGAAUCAGUGAAUCAUCGAAUCUUUGAACGCACAUUGCGCCUCUUGGUAUUCCGAGAGGCACGCCUGUUCGAGCGCCAUUACACACCCCAAGCUCUGCUUGAUGUUGGACGUCCUCCGGAAGGGGGUGUCUGAAACGUGUGGGCGCCCGCCGCCGACCACGAGCGUAGCACGAUUUCACGAUCAUCGCUUCGUUGGCUGUGCGGCUGGGCUGUCAGACUGAGGAUUGUAAUUGCAACCAAACGUUUGGCCUCGGAUCAGGCGGGGAUACCCGCUGAACUUAAGCAUAUCAAUAA